UACGGAGGAUGCAAGCGUUAUCCGGAAUGAUUGGGCGUAAAGCGUCCGCAGGUGGCUGUGUAAGUCUGCUGUCAAAGAGCGAAGCCCAACUUCGUAAAGGCAGUGGAAACUACACGGCUAGAGUGCGUUCGGGGCAGAGGGAAUUCCUGGUGUAGCGGUGAAAUGCGUAGAGAUCAGGAAGAACACCGGUGGCGAAGGCGCUCUGAUAGGCCGCAACUGACACUGAGGGACGAAAGCUAGGGGAGCGAAUGGG
rnacentral:rRNA from 1 species